UACGUAGGGGGCUAGCGUUGUCCGGAAUCAUUGGGCGUAAAGCGCGUGUAGGCGGCCCGAUAAGUCCGCUGUGAAAGUCCAGGGCUCAACCCUGGAAGGCCGGUGGAAACUGUCGGGCUAGAGUCCGGAAGAGGCGAGUGGAAUUCCCGGUGUAGCGGUGAAAUGCGCAGAUAUCGGGAGGAACACCAAUGGCGAAGGCAGCUCGCUGGGACGGUACUGACGCUGAGACGCGAAAGCGUGGGGAGCAAACAGG
rnacentral:rRNA from 1 species